rnacentral:lncRNA from 1 species
AUGGAAUGCUGUGUGUACACUCUCUGUCUAUCCUGCUCUGCUGCGCGUGUCGAGGUAGGGUAGGAUUGUGGUCUUAUUACACCAAACAGUCCUAUCAACCCUCCUAUAAUUAUAUUAUCUUCAAUAAUAUAAUGGUCUAUACGCUCACGAAGAGUUGCUUCGAGAGCCAAACGACAAAUGUUUGGCCUCUUCGCACUCGCAUUUAUGGCGAAGUACCGACUGAUCCACGCCGGGCCUUAUCACACCCGGCCCUACCCUGGAUGCGUAACGCUCAUCCGACUAACGACAGAUGAACGACAACCUAACAUUCUCAAAUCACAACGGAAAGCGCCUUAUACGCUAGUCAGGCAACACCCAAAGUCUCAAUUAAAUCAAUACGCGGUUCGCCUAACUACCUUCGGUUGGCUUAGCCACCUGCGGAUAGCGACUAACUCGGUCGUGG